GACACCGGUAAAAAAAAAAAAAAAAAAAAAAAAAAAAAAAG
rnacentral:ribozyme from 13 species